CGAUACCAACUUUUGUGCACUAUUCCACGCAAGCCUAUGCAUCCACGCGGCUUGUGGAGCCUGCCCAUUAUGGUCGCACCUUGCUAGGCGGCUCGCCCCUAGUUGAUUACAGGUGGCGCUACAGGCCCGAAAACUUUGCACAAUCACACGUAAGCUGUGACAAGGCUUAUCCCGGAGAUGCCAAUCCCGCGUGGAGGUAAGGCGUUUUACCCGAGCUAUAAAUAGCGUGGGGAGUAAUAAGGAGAGGGCAAGUCGUGGAGUUCCAGCCGCCGCGGUAAUACCAGCCUCAUCCGAGUAGCUGUGGAUGUUUAUUGGGCCUAAAGCAUCCGUAGCCUUGCUAAGCAAGGUCCCCUGUUUAAAUCCACCGAAUUCAACUUGGCUGGAUUGCCCGGGGAAUACUGGUUUGGCUAGUGACACUGGAGAGGGCCCGACUGCUAUUUUCCGGGUUAGGGGUGAAAUCCUAUAAUCCCGGGAAGACCACCAAGUGGCGAAGGCUGUCAGGCAUAGAACGCGCCACGGUGAGGAAUUAAAGCUGGGGCCAGCAACCGGGAAUUAGAUACCCGGGUAGUCCCACCUGUUAAACGAAUGCCA
rnacentral:rRNA from 1 species